AGAUUGAACGCUGGCGGCAUGCUUUACACAUGCAAGUCGAACGGUAACAGGCCGCAAGGUGCUGACGAGUGGCGAACGGGUGAGUAAUGCAUCGGAACGUGCCCAGUCGUGGGGGAUAACGCAGCGAAAGCUGUGCUAAUACCGCAUACGAUCUAUGGAUGAAAGCGGGGGACCGAAAGGCCUCGCGCGAUUGGAGCGGCCGAUGUCAGAUUAGCUAGUUGGUGGGGUAAAGGCCCACCAAGGCGACGAUCUGUAGCUGGUCUGAGAGGACGACCAGCCACACUGGAACUGAGA
rnacentral:rRNA from 1 species